rnacentral:rRNA from 1 species
CCUACGGGAGGCAGCAGUGGGGAAUAUUGGGCAAUGGGCGCAAGCCUGACCCAGCAACGCCGCGUGAAGGAAGAAGGCUUUCGGGUUGUAAACUUCUUUUGUUAGGGACGAAGCAAGUGACGGUACCUGACGAAUAAGCCACGGCUAACUACGUGCCAGCAGCCGCGGUAAUACGUAGGUGGCAAGCGUUAUCCGGAUUUACUGGGUGUAAAGGGCGUGUAGGCGGGACUGCAAGGCAGAUGUGAAAACCACGGGCUAAACCUGUGGCCUGCAUUUGAAACUGUAGUUCUUGAGUACUGGAGGGGCAGACGGAAUUCCUGGUGUAGCGGUGAAAUGCGUAGAUAUUAGGAAGAACACCAGUGGCGAAGGC